rnacentral:rRNA from 1 species
UACGUAGGGUGCAAGCGUUGUCCGGAAUUACUGGGCGUAAAGCGCACGUAGGCGGCUUUGUAAGUUAGAGGUGAAAGCCCAGGGCUUAACCCUGGAAUUGCCUUUAAGACUGCAUCGCUAGAAUCGUGGAGAGGUGAGUGGAAUUCCGAGUGUAGAGGUGAAAUUCGUAGAUAUUCGGAAGAACACCAGUGGCGAAGGCGACUCACUGGGCACGUAUUGACGCUGAGGUGCGAAAGCGUGGGGAGCAAACAGG